AACUCUAGAGAUAGAGUCUUCCCCUUCGGGGGACAAAGUGACAGGUGGUGCAUGGUUGUCGUCAGCUCGUGUCGUGAGAUGUUGGGUUAAGUCCCGCAACGAGCGCAACCCUUAAGCUUAGUUGCCAGCAUUAAGUUGGGCACUCUAAGUUGACUGCCGGUGACAAACCGGAGGAAGGUGGGGAUGACGUCAAAUCAUCAUGCCCCUUAUGAUUUGGGCUACACACGUGCUACAAUGGACAAUACAAAGGGCAGCUAAACCGCGAGGUCAUGCAAAUCCCAUAAAGUUGUUCUCAGUUCGGAUUGUAGUCUGCAACUCGACUACAUGAAGCUGGAAUCGCUAGUAAUCGUAGAUCAGCAUGCUACGGUGAAUACGUUCCCGGGUCUUGUACACACCGCCCGUCACACCACGAGAGUCUGUAACACCCGAAGCCGGUGGAGUAACCAUUUAUGGAGCUAGCCGUCGAAGGUGGGACAAAUGAUUGGGGUGAAGUCGUAACAAGGUAGCCGUAUCGGAA
rnacentral:rRNA from 1 species